GUUCACGUGUGGCUAUGCCGAACACACGCGGAGAACCUGUCGAACAAUCCUUUGCAAUCCACUCGAGCAGUGUGAUAAUAUUCACUGACUGACUGUGUGCAGUCAUUUCACUUCAUCAGCGGUCAGGUUUUUUGAUUGGGUGAUUCAAAUACCAUCUUCAUCUCCUGGAGCACCUUGUGUGGAGAGGACGACAUCGCCCUUCCAGCCCAGGUGGAUGAGAGGCUCCGCAGUCUCUCCAACUCCAACACUGAUUCCCCCCAUUCCCGAGAUCCAUCGAUCCGAUUCCCAGUGCAUACUGGGUGGCGAGCUAACUCAGAAUCUGGACACUGUGGUGCAGUGUUGACGUCCCCCUCCCCCACGAUCUGUGCGGUAGGACAAAGCUCAUACAGUGCACUGUUAGCUACAGAGAAACGGGCCUGGAGAUCGUACCCAGGACCUUCUUUUGGUGAGGCACCAGCACUAACCCCUGAGUUCCACCGUGCUGCCCCAUGAAAGAAUAUACAAUGUGAUAAAACAAGAUUUUUUUAUUGAACAAGUGUGGGACAAAUAACUUGUCAGCAGAACACACACCUUUAAAAAAGAUAAUCAGAAUGAGAUGUACACAAAAAUGUACAAAAGUGUAUGUGUUAACCCCGCCACUACCUUAUUUGAACUUUGUCUUUGGCUAUUUGGCCGCCGGAUCCUGGCUGGAACCUUGACUAGCAUCUCCGGGAACUGGAGCUGUGGAGAACAAAAUACACAAUCACAAAAU